UACGUAGGUGGCGAGCGUUGUCCGGAAUUACUGGGUGUAAAGCGCGUGUAGGCGGGAGGCCAAGUCUGUGGUGAAAUCGCUCGGCUUAACUGGGCGGGGUCCAUGGAAACUGGUCACCUGGAGGUCGGUAGAGGCAAGUGGAAUUCCCGGUGUAGUGGUGAAGUGCGUAGAGAUCGGGAGGAACACCAGUGGCGAAGGCGGCUUGCUGGGCCGGACCUGACGCUGAGACGCGAAGGCGUGGGGAGCAAACAGGG
rnacentral:rRNA from 1 species